AUUGCUAGCAUUGAAAAUCUUUGAUCUAAUAAUUCUUAGUUCUAACAUCCUGUUGCUGCCUAUUACAGAACCAACUCUUAAGCACCUGUAUGCAGCAUGUGCCUUUAAACCAUCACCCUCAGGUUUCUCCUUUCUCCUACCCAAAAUACUCCUACCACCCAAAUACAUCCAGAGUCCAGGUAGCUUGAAUUGCAUUGGGUCCCUCCUUUCCAUGACAUAUAUUCUUAAAAUUAUGAAAUAUACAAUGUAUAAAACUAUAGGGAACAUAUAUUUACCCUGUAAAGAAUGACCCUAGGGCUUUUGAUCAUGAAAUACCAAUACUUCUGCAGUAUUCCAUCCUAGUUUCCUUUUACCUGUACAUAACUACUAAUCAAAUGUGCUAAUCUCCCCCUUCUUCUUUUCCUUAUAAUUUUUUACCCUCUCUUUUUCAUUCUCUCUCUCUCUCUCUCUCUCCACACACAGAAUAUUUUUUUCAUGACACACUUGAAAAUAAAUUGUAUGCAUGAUACCCUUUACCUCUAAAUACUUCAGAUACAUUUUUAAAAGUAAUUUCUUUAUACAACUAUAAUAAAAUAAUCAACAUCAAGAAAUCAACCUUGGUACAGUAAUAUAUAGUCCAUAGACAUAAUUAAAUUUUGCCAGUUGACCUCCUAGUUUUCUCUCUUGGUCUCUUUAGUUUUCCUUGAUGUGUCACUAUUUCUCAGUCUUUGAUGUGAAAAUUUUGAAACCACAAUCCUUGUAAGAUGGCCCUUAGUUGCUUUUAGAUUGAAGAAUCCUCCUGGUGAGAUUCAGGUAGUGCUGAUGUGGUCAGGAAUGUUACAGAAGUGAUGUGCACCAUGAGUGUACCAUGUCAGGAGGAACGUUUUGGUUGGCUCCUUCAUUGGUCACUAGUUACAAGGUGUCUGCAGGUUUCUUCUCUGUGAAGUUUGUAGGUUCCCCUCGGUAACCCAUGAGUAAGUUGUGAGGGGACCUUCUGAGAGCCCCUGCUUCUCUUCAUCCAGUUGUGAUAAUUUCCUGAAACAGUUAUCCCUGUGGGUGGACAUUUACUAUGUUCCUAUUAGUCUUCAAUUUUUGCUCUUAUAAACAAUGCUUCUAUGAACAUCCUUUUCAAAAUCUCCUGGUAAACAAGGACACAGAUUUCUUUAAGGGCAAAUGCUUCUUCAACUUUAAAAAUACUCCCAGGUUUUUUUGCUUUUGGUUUUAGUUUUUCAAAACUACCAUGUCACUUUUUCACUCUCAUCAUUAGUGUCAAAGGCUUUCCUUUCUGCAUUUCCUUGACAGUAAAAUUGCCAGUGUUUCCCAUUUUUACCAAUUUGGUGGCUGUAAGAUGGGAUCCUAUCAGUUUUCAUUUGUAUUUCCCUCUUAACCAAAUGAAGUAGAGCAUCUUUUUUAUAUUAGGGGGCCAUUCAGUUUUCUUUUCACGCUGACAAUUUAGUCUUGGGAGAUUGACACUCAUAUGGUAAGUGUGUCAAAAAAUAAAUGAUCAGAUGAUUAUUAGAAGUUAGCUUUUAGGAAGAAAUUUGUUAAAUUCAUUUAAAUUG
rnacentral:lncRNA from 1 species